rnacentral:rRNA from 1 species
GCUUACACAUGCAAGUCGACUGGAAUUCUUCUUCGGAAGAUAGUACGGUGGCGGACGGGUGAGUAACGCGUAAAGAAUUUGCCCUUCAGACUGGGACAACUAAUCGAAAGGUUAGCUAAUACCGGAUAUUAUGAGACCUCGGCAUCGAGGACUUAUGAAAGCUAUAUGCGCUGGAGGAGAACUUUGCGUUCCAUUAGCUAGUUGGUAGGGUAAUGGCCUACCAAGGCGACGAUGGAUAGCCGGCCUGAGAGGGUGAACGGCCACAAGGGGACUGAGACACGGCCCUUACUCCUACGGGAGGCAGCAGUGGGGAAUAUUGGACAAUGGACCAAAAGUCUGAUCCAGCAAUUCUGUGUGCACGAUGAAGGUCUUCGGAUUGUAAAGUGCUUUCAGGCGGGAAGAAGAAAGUGACGGUACCACCAGAAGAAGCGACGGCUAAAUACGUGCCAGCAGCCGCGGUAAUACGUAUGUCGCAAGCGUUAUCCGGAAUUAUUGGGCGUAAAGCGAGUCUAGGCGGCUUGUUAAGUCAGAUGUGAAAAUGCGGGGCUCAACUCCGUAUUGCGUUUGAAACUGGCAGGCUAGAGUACUGGAGAGGUGGGCGGAACUACAAGUGUAGAGGUGAAAUUCGUAGAUAUUUGUAGGAAUGCCGAUAGUGAAGACAGCUCACUGGACAGAUACUGACGCUAAAGCUCGAAAGCGUGGGGAGCGAACAGGAUUAGAUACCCUGGUAGUCCACGCCGUAAACGAUGUUCACUGGGUGUAGGGGGUCGAACCUCUGUGCCGAAGCUAACGCGAUAAGUGAACCGCCUGGGGAGUACGCACGCAAGUGUGAAACUCAAAGGAAUUGACGGGGACCCGCACAAGCGGUGGAGCAUGUGGUUUAAUUCGACGCAACGCGAGGAAACCUUACCAGCACUUGACAUACAACGAACUCGUCAGAGAUGACUUGGUGCCGCUUCGUGGAACGUUGAUACAGUGGUGCAUGGCUGUCGUCAGCUCG